rfam:Triticum aestivum genome assembly, contig: Triticum_aestivum_CS42_TGACv1_scaffold_210677_3AS
UUUGUACUCCCUCCGUCCCAACAUACUUGUCUUAAAUUUGUCUAAAUACGGAUGUAUCUAGUUACAUUUUAGUGUUAGAUACAUCCGUAUCUAAACAAAUGUAAGACAAGAAUUUUGGGACGGAGAGAAUACUAC